rnacentral:lncRNA from 1 species
CAAAACGGAGGUAUUUGGACAUAAAUAUGUAUUAUUUUGAACAAAAACAACAUUUCUUGUGGAAGUAGCAGUCCUGGGAGUGCAUUCUGAUGAAGAUCAGCAAAGGAGGGGUGCAUCACUUGAGUGGGUUGAGUCACUGACGUGGUCUUCCUGUCUGGGUUGGCGACCCCCCCCCUUGGGUUCUGCCGUGGUGGAGAUCUUUGUGGGCUAUACUCGGCCUUCUCUCAGGAUGGACCUAAGCCCUAGGACCAUGCCUCAGGACUACCUGGCAUGAUGACUCCUUGCUGUCCCCAGUCCACCUGGCCGUGCUGCUGCUCCAGUUUCAACUGUUCUGCCUGUGGUUAUGGAACCCUGACCUGUUCACAGGACAUGCUACCUGUCCCAGACCUGCUGUUUUCAACUCUCUAGAGACAGCAGGAGCGGUAGAGAUACUCUCAAUGAUCGGCUAUGAAAAGCCAACUGACAUUUACUCGAGGUGCUGACUUGUUGCACCCUCGACAACUACUGUGAUUAUUAUUAUUUGACCAUGCUGGUCAUUUAUGAACAUCUUGGCCAUGUUCUGUUAUAAUCUCCACCUGGCAUAGCCAGAAGAGGACUGGCCACCUCUCAUAGCCUGGUUCUGCUCUAGGUUUCUUCCUAGGUUUUGGCCUUUCUAGGGAGUUUUUCCUAGCCACUGUGCUUCUACACCGGCACUGCUUGCUGUUUGGGGUUUUAGGCUGGGUUCCUGUACAGCACUUUGAGAUAUCAGCUGAUGUGAUGCCUCCCUCACUGGUGUACUGGCCCAUUCAGUCUCCAGGAAGAACACAGUACCCACCCCUGAGAGGCCACCGUGUUGAGGAUCAGCGUGGCAGAUGUGUUGUUGCCUACCCUUACCACCUGGGGGCGGCCCAUCAGGAAGUCCAGGAUCCAGUUGCAGAGGGAGGUGUUAAGUCCCAGGGUAGCCUUCCACAAGCUUCCCACAAUAAGUUGGGUGAAUUAUGGCCCAUUCCUCCUGACAGAGCUGGUGUAAAUGAGUCAGCAGAGGUAAGGAAAGCGCCACGUUACCCAGGCCGAUGAUGGGUCCCAUCACAGACGGGAUGAACUCUAGUUUGUUGCCGCAUUGGCCCCUCUCUUGCAUCUUCUCCUCUGACUGGAGCUGAGGGACAGGGACCAGGUCCUUCAACAUGCUGCUGUUCCUGCCAUUUGAGAGUGCCGCUUUAACUAUUUCAAGCAAUAAAAACAUUUUGGCUAUUUUCAAG